ACUCUGCUUUGUAUUUCCAGAUUGAGUCCUGUGGGUAAUAGCCACUGAAUACUUUUUGGAUCACUAAAUAUGGAAAUCACAUUUACCAAAUAUGGGGAAGUUGAACAAAUAUAUCUUUAAGAAGAUAGAAACAGAAGUCUCCCCCCCGCCCCAAGUUAAAGUGCCUUUGGCUCUGCUUCUAGGACUUCUAGGAACGUGCAAUUAAAAUAAAAUCGAAACAAC
rnacentral:lncRNA from 1 species